rnacentral:rRNA from 1 species
CUGGCGGCGUGCCUAAUCAUGCUUCCCGAGCGGAAAGAUGGGAGCUUGCUCUUUCCAUGUUAGCGGCGGACGGGUGAGUAACACGUGGGUAACCUGCCUGUAAGACUGGGAUAACUCCGGGAACCGGGGCUAAUACCGGAUGGUUGUUUGAACCGCAUGGUUCAGACAUAAAAGGUGGCUUCGGCUACCACUUACAGAUGGACCCGCGGCGCAUUAGCUAGUUGGUGAGGUAACGGCUCACCAAGGCAACGAUGCGUAGCCGACCUGAGAGGGUGAUCGGCCACACUGGGACUGAGACACGGCCCAGACUCCUACGGGAGGCAGCAGUAGGGAAUCUUCCGCAAUGGACGAAAGUCUGACGGAGCAACGCCGCGUGAGUGAUGAAGGUUUUCGGAUCGUAAAGCUCUGUUGUUAGGGAAGAACAAGUGCCGUUCAAAUAGGGCGGCACCUUGACGGUACCUAACCAGAAAGCCACGGCUAACUACGUGCCAGCAGCCGCGGUAAUACGUAGGUGGCAAGCGUUGUCCGGAAUUAUUGGGCGUAAAGGGCUCGCAGGCGGUUUCUUAAGUCUGAUGUGAAAGCCCCCGGCUCAACCGGGGAGGGUCAUUGGAAACUGGGGAACUUGAGUGCAGAAGAGGAGAGUGGAAUUCCACGUGUAGCGGUGAAAAUGCGUAGAGAUGUGGAAGAACACCAGUGGCGAAAGGCGACUCUCUGGUCUGUAACUGACGCUGA